rnacentral:rRNA from 1 species
GAUCCUGGCUCAGGACGAACGCUGGCGGCGUGCUUAACACAUGCAAGUCGAACGGAGAACUUUCUUCGGAAUGUUCUUAGUGGCGAACGGGUGAGUAACGCGUAGGCAACCUGCCCUCUGGUUGGGGACAACAUUCCGAAAGGAAUGCUAAUACCGAAUGUGAUCCUUCUUUCGCAUGAAGGAGGGAUGAAAGAUGGCCUCUACUUGUAAGCUAUCGCCAGAAGAUGGGCCUGCGUCUGAUUAGCUGGUAGGUGGGGUAACGGCUCACCUAGGCGAUGAUCAGUAGCCGGUCUGAGAGGAUGAACGGCCACAUUGGGACUGAGACACGGCCCAAACUCCUACGGGAGGCAGCAGUGGGGAAUCUUCCGCAAUGGACGAAAGUCUGACGGAGCAACGCCGCGUGAGUGAUGAAGGUCUUCGGAUUGUAAAACUCUGUUGUCAGGGACGAAAGCACCGAUCUAUAAUACAUUUUGGUGUUGACGGUACCUGACGAGGAAGCCACGGCUAACUACGUGCCAGCAGCCGCGGUAAUACGUAGGUGGCAAGCGUUGUCCGGAAUUAUUGGGCGUAAAGAGCAUGUAGGCGGGCUUUUAAGUCCGACGUGAAAAUGCGGGGCUUAACCCCGUAUGGCGUUGGAUACUGGAAGUCUUGAGUGCAGGAGAGGAAAGGGGAAUUCCCAGUGUAGCGGUGAAAUGCGUAGAUAUUGGGAGGAACACCAGUGGCGAAGGCGCCUUUCUGGACUGUGUCUGACGCUGAGAUGCGAAAGCCAGGGUAGCAAACGGGAUUAGAUACCCCGGUAGUCCUGGCCGUAAACGAUGGGUACUAGGUGUAGGAGGUAUCGACCCCUUCUGUGCCGGAGUUAACGCAAUAAGUACCCCGCCUGAGGACUCCGAU